CAGGCAGUGUCACUGAGAUAUGAUCAUUUAAGACAACAUGCAGUAAGGUAAAGGUAUGACUCCAGUCUGGAAAGUGUGGAGAAUACUGGACAAGAUGGAUAAGAUUAUUAUCUCAAGUUUAAUUCUUAUCAGUCUUAAAGCAACAGUGAUAUCUUCUCUCGACAUCCAGCAAACACCACAACAUCUACUAAUCUACUCAACGCUUGAGCAAAAUGAAGCAAGACUUAAAUGUCGGCAUGGUGAUAACAGCUAUCCCUACAUGUACUGGUAUCAACAGAAGACACUUGGUGACUCCAUUGAGUUUAUUGGAAGGCUCCAUUAUGAAAAAUUCACUCCUGAGGAGAAGUUUAAAUCACGAUUCAACACUUCAGGACACUCUAAAGCAGACGCGUAUCUGCUCAUAUCCCCUAUAACUUCUGAGGACAGUGCAGUAUAUUUCUGUGCUGCGACAAGGGUCUCCAAAUCCAAUCUGCUAAUUUCACCUGAGCAGCUAAAAGUAAACCUCAGCUGUCGGCAUGGUGAUGCCAGCUAUCCCUACAUGUACUGGUAUAAACUAAAGGCCGCUGGUGACUCUAUUGAGCUCAUUGGCGUGCUUCAGUAUGCAGGAGACUCUACUGAGGAGAAGUUUAAAUCACGAUUCAGCAAUUCACUCACAUGA